rnacentral:rRNA from 1 species
GACGAACGCUGGCGGCGUGCUUAACACAUGCAAGUCGAACGGAAAGGCCCAGCUUGCUGGGUGCUCGAGUGGCGAACGGGUGAGUAACACGUGGGUGAUCUGCCUCUAACUUCGGGAUAAGCUUGGGAAACUGGGUCUAAUACCGGAUAGGACAAUCGUCUAGUGUCGGUUGUGGAAAGUUUUUUCGGUUAGGGAUGAGCCCGCGGCCUAUCAGCUUGUUGGUGGGGUAAUGGCCUACCAAGGCGUCGACGGGUAGCCGGCCUGAGAGGGUGGACGGCCACAUUGGGACUGAGAUACGGCCCAGACUCCUACGGGAGGCAGCAGUGGGGAAUAUUGCACAAUGGGCGCAAGCCUGAUGCAGCGACGCCGCGUGGGGGAUGACGGCCUUCGGGUUGUAAACCUCUUUCGACAGGGACGAAGCUUUGGUGACGGUACCUGUAGAAGAAGCACCGGCUAACUACGUG